AUUGAACGCUGGCGGCAGGCUUAACACAUGCAAGUCGAGCGAGCGGCGGACGGGUGAGUAAUGUCUGGGAAACUGCCUGAUGGAGGGGGAUAACUACUGGAAACGGUAGCUAAUACCGCAUACCAUCAGAUGUGCCCAGAUGGGAUUAGCUAGUAGGUGGGGUAAUGGCUCACCUCGGCGACGAUCCCUAGCUGGUCUGAGAGGAUGACCAGCCACACUGGAACUGAGACACGGUCCGACCGCCUACGGGAGGAAGAAGUGUGGAAUAUUGCACAAUGGGCGCAAGCCUGAUGCAGCCAUGCCGCGUGUAUGAAUAAGGCCUUCGGGUUGUAAAGUACUUUCAGCGGGGCGGCGUUACCCGCAGAAGAAGCACCGGCUAACUCCGUGCCAGCAGCCGCGGUAAUAC
rnacentral:rRNA from 1 species